CGAUGCCCGCGUGACCCCAGCAGGGCUCGUGGCCGCGUGCUGACGUGUAGCGGCUGAUUAAGCGCCCCAGCCUUCGGGCCGGUGCUGGCGUCUACCUUCAGUCCACAGGUCUCUCGGAAAGGUUUUUCUCGACUGGGGCGAAUUACAACCACACUCGGUUCCAUGGAGAUCUCGCAAAUGCACUCCGUCGACUUUAAUCGCCAUCCAAGUCGUUUUCUUUAACGAGCCAGGAUGAACAGGGCAGACCGUGUCAUCUCAGGUGGGCCAUGGAAGUCGGCAGGAAACAAUUCCGUUGGCCCAGUAGAUGUGCAGGAUUUUGCCAGGGUGCCACAGCUGCCCCCCCCCUCACCCCCCCACUGGGAUGCAGGACCACCGGAGAGCAAUUCGUCCGCAUUUCCCUCAGAGCUCCAUGCCUCACCAUUGCUGGUGAACCUUCCUGAUGUACACAAGUGUCUCAGCUCGUUUGUUCUGCUAAUUCUGGAGAAUAAAACCUGCGGGAUUUUA